rnacentral:rRNA from 1 species
CUGCAACUCGACUCCAUGAAGCUGGAUUCGCUAGUAAUCGCGCAUCAGCCAUGGCGCGGUGAAUACGUUCCCGGGCCUGUACACACCGCCCGUCAAGCCAUGGAAGCCGGGAGUGCCUGAAGUGUGCAACCGCAAGGAGCGCCCUAAGGUAAAACUGGUGACUGGGGCUAAGUCGUAACAAGGUAAC